rnacentral:rRNA from 1 species
AGCGAACGCUGGCGGCAGGCUUAACACAUGCAAGUCGAGCGCUCGUAGCAAUACGAGAGCGGCAGACGGGUGAGUAACGCGUGGGAACAUGCCCUUCGGUUCGGAAUAACACUUCGAAAGGGGUGCUAAUACCGGAUAAGCCCACGGGGUCUUUGGAUUCUGCGGGAAAAGGGGGGGACCUUCGGGCCUUCUGUCAUCAGAUGAGUCUGCGUACCAUUAGCUAGUUGGUAGGGUAAUGGCCUACCAAGGCUACGAUGGUUAGCUGGUUUGAGAGAAUGAUCAGCCACACUGGAACUGAGACACGGUCCAGACUCCUACGGGAGGCAGCAGUGGGGAAUUUUGCGCAAUGGGCGAAAGCCUGACGCAGCAACGCCGCGUGAGUGAUGAAGGCUUUCGGGUCGAAAGCUCUGUCGAGGGGAAAGAAGUGUAAGGAGGUUAAUACCCUCUUUACUUGACGGUACCCCUAAAGGAAGCACCGGCUAACUCCGUGCCAGCAGCCGCGGUAAUACGGGGGGUGCAAGCGUUGUUCGGAAUUAUUGGGCGUAAAGAGCGUGUAGGCGGUUUGUUAAGUCUGUUGUGAAAGCCCUGGGCUCAACCCAGGAAGUGCACUGGAUACUGGCAGACUUGAAUACGGGAGAGGGUAGUGGAAUUCCUAGUGUAGGAGUGAAAUCCGUAGAUAUUAGGAGGAACACCGGUGGCGAAGGCGGCUACCUGGACCGAUAUUGACGCUGAGACGCGAAAGCGUGGGUAGC